rnacentral:sRNA from 1 species
GUGAGCUGAUAGGUGUAACCGUGUUCCAAUGAAACUUUAUUUACAAAAACAAGGAGUGGGUCAGAUUUGGCCUAUGGGUCAUAGUUUGCUGACUUUUGCUUUAUUUGGUGAAUGGUUUCUGAGAGUUGAGUAACAACUUGGGAGUGGAAUCCAUGGACCAUGAUAAACUUUCAUCUCUCCCCAUAAUGGGAAUGUGUGAAUAGGCAGGCGUCCAUACCUGCAACACAGAGACAAAGCUAUAGACUUCCUAUGUUAAGUUCAAUGUGUAAGCAUACUCUUGAGAGUAACCACGUGAACUACGUAGGUAUCCAUUGCCAAUUGACAUUUGGCAAUGUUAAUGUCAACAAUUAACAUGAACAUAAAAUGGUCUAAUUGUAGGAAAUCUGAAGAAGAGAAGACAAACAAACAAACUGAUACAGAAAGUGGAAAUGAAAACUCUGGCUACAAUUCAGAUGAACAAAAGACCACAGAAACCGCUUCUCUCCCUCCCAAAUCCUGUGAAUCCAGUGAUCCUGAACAAAGGAACAGUAGCUGUGGCCCUCCUCGACAGGGGGCUGAUCAAUGUCCACCCAGGCCAGCAAGUCAUCCACAGGCUUCUUUUAAUCCGGCCAGUCUUGAGAAGGUCAGUAAUACAACUGUAGUAUAGCAAAGACUUCCCCAAGCUCCACUGAGCACUUGGCAGACAAUUUACAACACGGCAAUGGCAUCCUUCCUUUCCAUCCUA